rnacentral:rRNA from 1 species
UACGGGGGGGGCAAGCGUUGUUCGGAAUUACUGGGCGUAAAGGGCUCGUAGGCGGCCACCUAAGUCAGACGUGAAAUCCCUCGGCUUAACCGGGGAACUGCGUCUGAUACUGGAUGGCUUGAGUUUGGGAGAGGGAUGCGGAAUUCCAGGUGUAGCGGUGAAAUGCGUAGAUAUCUGGAGGAACACCGGUGGCGAAGGCGGCAUCCUGGACCGGCAUUGACGCUGAGGAGCGAAAGCCAGGGGAGCAAACGGG